rnacentral:rRNA from 1 species
UACGGAGGGCGCGAGCGUUGUCCGGAAUCACUGGGCGUAAAGGGCGCGUAGGCGGCCCUGGUAAGUCUGCGGUGAAAGCCCGGGGCUCAACCCCGGGUCGGCCGCGGGUACUGCCGGGCUGGAGUGCCGUAGGGGCAGGCGGAAUUCCUGGUGUAGCGGUGGAAUGCGUAGAGAUCCGGAAGAACACCGGUGGCGAAGGCGGCCUGCUGGGCGGCGACUGACGCUGAGGCGCGAAAGCGUGGGGAGCAAACAGG